AUUGAACGCUGGCGGCAGGCCUAACACAUGCAAGUCGAGCGAGCGGCGGACGGGUGAGUAAUGUCUGGGAAACUGCCUGAUAGAGGGGGAUAACUACGGGAAACGGUAGCUAAUACCGCAUACCAUCAGAUGUGCCCAGAUGGGAUUAGCUAGGAGGGGGGGUAACGGCUCACCUAGGCGACGAUCCCUAGCUGGUCUGAGAGGAUGACCAGCCACACUGGCACUGAGACACGGUCCAGACUCCGACGGGAGGCAGCAGUGGGGAAUAUUGCACAAUGGGCGCAAGCCUGAUGCAGCCAUGCCGCGUGUGUGAAGAAGGCCUUCGGGUUGUAAAGCACUUUCAGCGGGGAGGCGUUACCCACAGAAGAAGCACCGGCUAACUCCGUGCCAGCAGCCGCGGUAAUAC
rnacentral:rRNA from 1 species